ensembl:snRNA U6 U6 spliceosomal RNA
GAGCUCGCUUUGGCAGCACAUAUACUAAAAUUGGAAUGAUACAGAAAAGAUUAGCAUGGCCCUUGUGUAAGGAUGACACACAAAUUUGUGAAGUGUCCCAUAUUUUU